AACGUAGGUUCCGAGCGUUAUCCGGAUUUACUGGGCGUAAAGCGCGUUCAGGCGGUUUGGCAAGUCGGGCAUGAAAUCUCUCGGCUCAACCGGGAGAGGUUGUCCGAUACUGCUGGACUUGAGGGCAGUAGAGGGUGGUGGAAUUCCGGGUGUAGCGGUGGAAUGCGUAGAGAUCCGGAAGAACACCGGUGGCGAAGGCAGCCCCCUGGGGCAAAACUGACGCUCAUGCACGAAAGCGUGGGGAGCAAACAGG
rnacentral:rRNA from 1 species